AAAAAAAUAAUGUCAAACUUUGUUUCCCGCCAGAGCCCUGGGGACAGCUAAAACUGGGUUGCUGCAAAGAACUACUUUUUAACCAGAAGCUGAGCAAUGUGCUGCUGAUAAAACAUCAGAUGUCUUUAUGGUAGUUUCUUUCAGACGAGGCUGGCUUUUGAAUGAUGGACCUUUGGCAUCUACCUGUUUGUAGCAACGUUCUAACUAAAUGUGAAAAUGUAAAAAAAAAAAAAAGAAGAAGAAGAAAAGAAAAGAAAAGAAAAGAAAAGAAAAGAAAAGAAAAGAAAAGAAAAAACAAAACCAGAGAACCAGAUAUCUUAAAACUGAAGAAGAUGCAAGCUACUAUGAAAGAAGUUCUUCCUGUGCCUUGACACUGUAUCAUAAAAAGAACUAGGAUAUUUUGGUGUACAAGAUAGUGUCAUUUGUGAACUUUGACAAAUUCUACUACUAAUUCAACAAUAAUAAUAUAUUCAAUUUUAAAAGAGGAACAUCCAGAGAAUUGUUUAAAAUACACACGCCAAAAGGAGAUUUAAUCUUUUCAAACCUCUUUAUUAUGAUUAUUAAGCUUUUAUUUUAAUUCCAAUAUAGUUAACAUACAGUGUUAUUAUUAGUUUGGGGUAUACAAUAUAAUGAUUCAACUACUCCAUACAUCAUCCUGUGCUCAUCACAGACAAGUGCCCUCCUCAAUCCUCAUCUCCUGUUUCACCCAAUCCCCCACCUACCUCCCUCUAGUAACCAUCAGUUUGUUCUCUAUAGUUAAGCGUCUGUUUUUUGGUUUGUCUCUCUCUCCUUUGUUUUCCUCUUCUCUCAUUUGUUUUGUUUCUUAAAUUCCACAGGUGAAUGAGAUCAUAUGGUGUUUAUCUUUCUCUGACUUAUUUUGCUUAGCAUCAUACUCUAGCUAGCCAAUGAUUAGAUUUCAUUCUUUUAUAUGGUUGAUAAAUAUUCCGUGUGUGUGUGUGUGUGUGUGUGUGUGUGUACAUAUACCACAUUGUCUUUAUCCAUUCAUCUAUUGAUGGACACUUGGCUGCUUCCAUAAUUUGGCUGGCUAUUGUAAAUAAUGCUCUUUAUAAACAUAGGGGUAUAUAUAUAUCCCUUUGAAUUAAUGUUUUUGUAUUUUUUUGGGGGGGGAAUAUCCUGUAGUAUGAUUGCUGGCUUAUAAUGUAAUUCUAUUUUUAACUUUUUGAGGAACUUCCAUACUGUUUUCCACAGUGGCUGCAACAAUUUGUGUUCCUGCCAACAGUGAAGAGGAUUCCUUUUUCUCCAAAUCCUCACUAACACUUGUUGUCUCUUGUGUUUUUGAUUGUAGCCAUUCUGACCUGGCGUGGGGUGGUAUCUUGUUUUGAUUUGCAUUUCCUUGAUGAUAAAUGAUGUUGAGCAUCUUUUCAUUUGUCUGUUUGCCAUCUCUCUCUCCUCAAGAUUUUAUCUUGACUUCAUACAUCUUUGUUAAAGAUUUUCUGGGCAAAUUUGCGGGAUGUGUCGAUGUGCUAAGUAGGGUCUUAUGUAUAAGAGACAGAGACAUCUCUUAGGAAAAACUGAAUGGUAAGAAGAGAGAUCCCCUAGGCAUAGAAACUUUAUCUAAUGGCAUCAAAAGACAGCUUUCAGAUCAGCCUACAUGAAUUUUCACUUGAGUUCUAGGGAUUGUGAGUAAAUUAAAGCAAAUGAAAGUAAAUUCAGAAGGAUCCGUUUGUUUUUGUUUGUUUGGCUGGUUGUGUAGUUUGUUCGUUUAUUAUACUUUUGUUUUUUUUGUGUGGGUUUUUUUGGUAAAUCUAUGGAGACAUAGCUUAUGUAAGAGAGUGUAACAUAAGAGGGGUAGAAGGUCUGACAAGGUUAAAGCACAUUCAAGUGCAAAUACCAGGGUUCAAGCCACAGUAGACUAAUGUGCAGCUCAUACGUAGAAGAAAAUUGAAGAGGACUUCAUGCAUUGUUGGUGUCACAGGCAGCAACAAAGACAGGAACACACUUGGAGGGCAUCAGUGAUAUUAUAUUGGUUUCACCAAAGUCUUGGAUGGUCACUAAUAGUGGAGAUGUAGCAGCAAUUGCCCGACACUUAAAGUCAGCUGAAGUAGAUGUCUCCAGAGAAAGCCAAACAGGAGAGGAGAAAAAUGUUGGAUGCCAGAUUAUAACCACAGGCUCAUGAGAGACACUCUGAGAAACCUUCCCAAAAUUGUGUUUGUAGGUAAAGAGAGAGUGGAUAAGGAAUGUGACUUUCUUUCACUUCUGGGUGGGGACAGAGCCCACAAAAAAAUAUUGUUAUGGUUUUUAACUUAAUUUUAACAGAUUGGUCUAGUAAGGUAAUCCCAGUUUAUAGUUGUCAAAGUAUUGGAAAGACAUUUUGUAUGUUCUAAAUCAACUUCCAUUUUAAUAGCUCACAUUAAAUAAUUCCAUGCCGUCUGUGCUCAAUAUUUUAAAGAAAUCAUACAAAAUACAUUACUCUGCUAUUAAAUAUAGAUAAUUUAAUCCUGAGUACUCUAGAGAUAUAUCAUUUUCCUAUUGUCUCUUCCAAUAAGAAAGAGCAAAUUAAGUUAGUCAAGUGGUUCCAAAUAGAACGUUUGUUUAUUAUUACACAGCAGUGUUAAAAAGUAUGGAAUUAAACUCUGUGUCGUACCUGUAUUACCAGAUUUAAACAUCUAGAUAUUUGGGACUCCUGGGUGGCUCAGUGGUUGAGCAUCUGCCUUUGGCUCAGGGCGUGAUCCCGGGGUCCUGGAAUCAAGUCCCACUUCGGGCUCCCCACAGGGAGCCUGCUUCUCCCUCUGCCUCUCUCUCUGUGUCUCUCAUGAAUAAAUAAAUAAAAUCUUUUAAAAAAUCUAGAUGU
rnacentral:lncRNA from 12 species